UACGUAGGGGGCAAGCGUUGUCCGGAUUUAUUGGGCGUAAAGAGCGUGUAGGCGGCCAGACAGGUCCGUUGUGAAAACUCGAGGCUCAACCUCGAGACGUCGAUGGAAACCGUCUGGCUAGAGUCCGGAAGAGGAGAGUGGAAUUCCUGGUGUAGCGGUGAAAUGCGCAGAUAUCAGGAAGAACACCUAUGGCGAAGGCAGCUCUCUGGGACGGUACUGACGCUGAGACGCGAAAAGCGUGGGGAGCGAACAGG
rnacentral:rRNA from 1 species